ACAAUCAGUUUACAGUCAGCGAUCGUACCGAGUGGACGUGUUUUAGCUUAGCUCUUCAACUAGCCGCAACGAGUGCAAGGAAAGUUGGUCUUUGUUGUCAUCGUCGAGUGCGGAGUUUUGUUUACGCGCGCGGGUGGCGUGUUUCAGAAUUAAAAGUUCGUGACAAGAGCCGAUUAUUUGUAUCGGAAGGUGCUACCAGACUGAUCGGGUGGGAAAAACGAAUGUUUUUUCCCACACUGAUGACAAAGUUAGAAACGAAAGAAGGACAAUUAAAGGUUGUGGUUUUCUGGAAAAACCGCAGAAAAAAGUAGUGACUUGUGACAAAACAAAGAAAACCGAAAUUGUGAGUGAUUUGUUUGGAUGUUUUGGAGGUAAUUUUCCGGAUUGGUAAUUCGAACAAGACUGAAGUGUCAUAAGACUGAUCUGAGUGACGGCAAAACAAUGGCAGUCGCAUUUUACAUUCCCUCGGUGGAUGAGAAUGAGCAGGUUAAGCCUAAUCAGGCCUAUCAGCAACAACAACAGCAGCAGCAUCAGCAGCAACAACACCAGCAACAGUCGGACACAAGUCCAAACGUGUCGCAACAGGUCUGCUCUGCUGAGUUCAACCAACAGCAGCAACACCUGAUGCUGCUCUUUCACGAGAUCCUGCUCGCCUACGCGAGUGAAGCCAUACUGACCCAACGAGCCACGUCACUGACGAGCCCCUCUAGCUGUAUGCUGUGCAAAAAAUUGUAUUAUCUGUUCAGGCGAAUCUACUGACAGCUGUGUCGUAAGGCCAUUGAGAACAAAAACGUUAGCCAAAAGCGUGCCAGGACUAUUGAUAAUGCAACUACUACCAAUACUACUACUAUUACUGCUACUACUACUACUACUACUACUAUUAAAAAUAAUACUAGGACUAAGCGUGUGCCGUACAGGAGAACGAGAGAAACUAGGUCAAGGUCUGAUGGUGGUGAUACGAACACGGCCAGCAGGAGCAUUGUUAGCUGUAAGCGAUUUAAACGGAACGAGUUGUGAAUUUUGGUGCUACCGGAGAGAGAUUGUGCAACGAUGAUUCAUGAUUUCCGUUAAAAAGGACAAGAUGUCUCAAGCCAAUCUCCCGGCAAAAAAAUUGGAUUUGGUCAGAAGCGCGUUGGUUCAGUGGGAGCGCUGGGGGUUUGAACCUGGACCGACCGGUUGGUUCGAAUUUGCCCAACUAGAGACGUAGGCUGUUCAGGAUGGUUUCACUUUAUCAACAAAUGAUUUCGAAGGUUUUGCGCAAGCCGGAUAAAUCCGGCUUCGAAAUUUGUUUUUCAACAAGCCGCCCUUUCAAACUUUGUACAUAUGAACGCAGUUAUUCUCCUCGUGUAUCGAUAUAUUCUAUAAGUAAACGAGAUAGCUGUUCAAUACCAAAGCAUCUGAUCAAAAGACAAACUACAAAAAAAAAUGACAAAGAAAACCCUCUGGUUUUAUAUACUAAACUUAGGCAAGUAACUUUUUAUCCAUUUUUUGUCGAACGGACGACAGCAAGUCUAUUUAUAUUCACUAAAAACAGAUACGAUACAUUUUUGCGUAGUGAUAAAUUCGUGUUAGAUCGAUAAGAAAAGCGUAUUGUGACCCCCCAAAAUGUAGACUAAGGCAACCGAAGCAUACAAACAAACCAACAAAAAAAGCGCAUUGUGAUAUCAGACUUCUUUUUUCUUAAUUUUUAAAUGUGACAUUUCUAUUCAAACGAAUCGAAACGAUUUUAAAAAUGGCAAAUGAAAGAGGAAAGACAGAGGAGGGCGGCAGCCGCACUGAGAUAGAGAUACUGUACAUAUUUAUUUUAAAAAUUGACAAAAAAGAGUUACACCGAAAAGCGGGCAAAUUUUUGCUUGCAAUUUACUAAUUAAGGUUUCCAGUAUUUUUUCGCAUUCUAAUGUAUGGAAAACUAAGUAGAAAUUAGUUGGUAAGAUUCUAGUAGUAAGUCAACGAAAAUUAACGAAAAGAAAAAACACAAAAAGUCUACAAACAGUUUCAAUUAUUUAUCUUAACCAUUGUAUGAAGAGAACUUACUAUCUUAAGAAUUUGUGCUAUCGAAUAUUUCAAUCAAAACGAUUGUUUGUAUAUAUAUUAUACCAUUCGCGGUGACUUUGAUGUUGUAUUUACUGCCAGAUCCGAAAUCUGGUUUUGUUAGACCAAAAAAAAAAAAACAAACCCUUGUCAGAAGAUGAAAAAUAAGCGGAAAAAAAUUUUUUCUACGUUUUAAUAAUUUAACUACUCAGAGAAAAGAAAAACUAGUUUAAUUUACCUAAUUUAAGCUGACCAUUGAUUGUAAUUUUUGUUGAUCUCUUCGACGGAGGAAAAGACAGUUUGAAUAAAUCAAAAUGGGUACAGUUUCGAUAUACAGCUCUA